GCUUCCCAUGCAGUCGAACGAGAAGCUCGGGCUUGCCCGGGUGGAAAGUGACGAACGGGUGAGUAACACGUGAGCAACCUGCCCCGAAGACCGGGAUAACACCGGGAAACCGGUGCUAAUACCGGAUGUCUUCGCCGGACCGCAUGAUCCGGCGAGGAAAUGGUCAGCCGCUUCGGGAUGGGCUCGCGGCCUAUCAGCUUGUUGGUGGGGUCACGGCCCACCAAGGCGACGACGGGUAGCUGGUCUGAGAGGAUGUCCAGCCACACUGGGACUGAGACACGGCCCAGACUCCUACGGGAGGCAGCAGUGGG
rnacentral:rRNA from 1 species